UCGGUCCCUAUCUGCCGUGGGCGUUGGAGAUUUGAGAGGAGCUGCUCCUAGUACGAGAGGACCGGAGUGGACGAACCUCUGGUGUUCGGGUUGUGACGCCAGUCGCAUUGCCCGGUAGCUAUGUUCGGACAGGAUAACCGCUGAAAGCAUCUAAGCGGGAAGCCCCCCUCAAAACCAGGUAUCCCUAUCAGAGCCGUGGAAGACCACCACGUUGAUAGGCUGGAAGUGGAAGCGUAGCGAUACGUGAAGCGGACCAGUACUAAUUGCUCGAUCGGCUUGAU
rnacentral:rRNA from 1 species